CUCAGGACGAACGCUGGCGGCGUGCCUAAUACAUGCAAGUCGAGCGGACGAUUCAAAAGCUUGCUUUUGAAUCGUUAGCGGCGGACGGGUGAGUAACACGUGGGCAACCUGCCCUGUAGACGGGGAUAACACCGAGAAAUCGGUGCUAAUACCGGAUAACACGAAAUGUCGCAUGACGUUUCGUUGAAAGACGGCGCAAGCUGUCGCUACAGGAUGGGCCCGCGGCGCAUUAGCUAGUUGGUGAGGUAACGGCUCACCAAGGCGACGAUGCGUAGCCGACCUGAGAGGGUGAUCGGCCACACUGGGACUGAGACACGGCCCAGACUCCUACGGGAGGCAGCAGUAGGGAAUCUUCCGCAAUGGACGAAAGUCUGACGGAGCAACGCCGCGUG
rnacentral:rRNA from 1 species